UCUCCGUUGGUGAACCAGCGGAGGGAUCAUUGCUGGAACAAACGCCCUCACGGGUGCUACCCAGAAACCCUUUGUGAAUCGUACUCGUUGCUUCGGGGGCGACCCUGCCGUUCGCGGCGUGGGGCCCCGGAGCCCUUCUAACCCUGCGUAACUGAGUCGUCGGAGUUUAAACAAAUUAAACAAAACUUUCAACAACGGAUCUCUUGGGUCUGGCAUCGAUGAAGAACGCAGC
rnacentral:misc_RNA from 1 species